rnacentral:rRNA from 1 species
CCUACGGGAGGCAGCAGUAGGGAAUAUUGCUCAAUGGGGGAAACCCUGAAGCAGUAACGCCGCGUGGAGGAUGACGGUUUUCGGAUUUUAAACUUCUUUUGGUAGAUAAGAUAAUGACGGUAUCUAACGAAUAAGCACCGGCUAACUCCGUGCCAGCAGCCGCGGUAAUACGGAGGGUGCAAGCGUUACUCGGAAUCACUGGGCGGAAAGAGCGCGUAGGCGGGAUAGCAAGUCAGAUGUGAAAUCCUAUGGCUUAACCAAAAAACGGCAGUUGAAACUGUUAUUCUAGAGUAUGGGAGAGGUAGGUGGAAUUCUUGGUGUAGGGGUAAAAUCCGUAGAGAUCAAGAGGAAUACUCAUUGCGAAGGCGACCUGCUAGAACAUAACUGACGCUGAUGCGCGAAAGCGUGGGGAGCAAACAGGAUUAGAUACCCUUGUAGUC